AGUUUGCCACAUAACUUGAAUGUAAAAUAUGAACAGAGCACUUGCAAAGAAAAAGGAAGGGGUGGCCAGGAACUGCACUCAAAAAAGAGGCUGCAGAGUAAUCUGAAAUGACCAGAGGAUCCAUCCAGGCAUGGAAGUGCUCUGAAGGUAGGAAGAAAAACCAUCCUGUUCUGUUCUACACUUGCUUGCAAGUUGUGAAUAACGACUGAAGACGUUUGGAGAAGGAUCAGAAUCCCCUUGGCAGCGGGAAGUGUUUGGAUCUGAAAAUAUUAUCUCAGGUCAUGAGCCUAGAAAGUCAUGGAAGAGCCCACACACCUUCCACUGGGAGAGAAGGAUGAGGAAGAACAGAACUGACAUUGCCCUGCCUCUGUCUUUGGCCAUCACCAUUUCCACAUUACCCACUGCUGCCUUCUUCAUUGGUGUUGGGGAGCAGAGCCUUGGAAACAUGGGAAAGCAAUCCCAACAGUGUUCUUCAGAGCAGGACUGCAAACUUUUAGGGACUAAGCUUCCUAAUCACUACCGUAUGGCUCAUAAAAGGAGCAACCUGAUACCAUGUACCAAGAGGUUGUUAUUCCUCCUUUCUACCCUGUCCCACUCCAAAUGUUAGAACAAUAAAUACAUUUACCUCUUGUUUAAAUCACUUAAAAUAA